AGUGAACGCUGGCGGUAGGCCUAACACAUGCAAGUCGAACGGCAGCACAGUAAGAGCUUGCUCUUACGGGUGGCGAGUGGCGGACGGGUGAGGAAUACAUCGGAAUCUACUUUUUCGUGGGGGAUAACGUAGGGAAACUUACGCUAAUACCGCAUACGACCUACGGGUGAAAGCAGGGGAUCUUCGGACCUUGCGCGAUUGAAUGAGCCGAUGUCGGAUUAGCUAGUUGGCGGGGUAAAGGCCCACCAAGGCGACGAUCCGUAGCUGGUCUGAGAGGAUGACAGGCCACACUGGAACUGGGAACCGGUCCGAACUCCUACGGGAGGCAGCGGUGGGGAAUAUUGGACAAUGAGCGAAAGCCUAACCCAGCCAUACGGCGUGGGUGAAGAAGGCCUUCGGGUUGUAAGCCCUUUUGUUGGGAAAGAAAAGCAGCAGGUUAAUACCCCGCUGUUCUGACGGUACCCAAAGAAUAAGCACCGGCUAACUUCGUG
rnacentral:rRNA from 1 species